GCCAGGUGUGGUGGCGUGCACCUGUAAUCCCAGCUACUCGGGAGGCUGAGUCAGGAGAAUCACUUGAACCCAGGAGAUGGAGGCUGCAGUGAGCCAAGAUCGUGCCACUGCACUUCAGCCUGGGUGACAGAGUGAGACACUGUCUCAA
ensembl:misc_RNA Metazoa_SRP Metazoan signal recognition particle RNA